AACGGAUAUCUCGGCUCUCGCCACGAUGAAGAAUGUAGCGAAAUGCGAUACUUAGUGUGAAUUGCAGAAUCCCGUGAAUCAUCAAGUCUUUGAACGCAAGWUGCGCCCGAGGCCUCGGCCAAGGGCACGUCUGCUUGGGCGUCGC
rnacentral:rRNA from 1 species